AGAGUUUGAUCCUGGCUCAGGAUGAACGCUGACAGAAUGCUUAACACAUGCAAGUCGAUUCAAGUUACCUUCGGGUAAUGAGGAUGGCGGACGGGUGAGUAACGCGUAAGGAACUUGCCUCUUGGUCUGGGACAACUGUUGGAAACGACAGCUAAUACCGGAUAUUAUGAGAUUCUCGCAUGAGAAACUUAUGAAAGCUAUAUGCGCCAAGAGAGAGCCUUGCGUUCCAUUAGCUAGUUGGUGGGGUAAUGGCCCACCAAGGCGACGAUGGAUAGCCGGCCUGAGAGGGUGAACGGCCACAAGGGGACUGAGACACGGCCCUUACUCCUACGGGAGGCAGCAGUGGGGAAUAUUGGACAAUGGGCCACAAGCCUGAUCCAGCAAUUCUGUGUGCACGAUGAAGGUCUUCGGAUUGUAAAGUGCUUUCAGUUGGGAAGAAGAAAGUGACGGUACCAACAGAAGAAGCGACGGCUAAAUACGUGCCAGCAGCCGCGGUAAUACGUAUGUCGCAAGCGUUAUCCGGAUUUAUUGGGCGUAAAGCGCGUCUAGGCGGAAAGAUAAGUCUGAUGUGAAAAUGCGGGGCUCAACUCCGUAUUGCGUUGGAAACUGUCUUUCUAGAGUACUGGAGAGGUGGGCGGAACUACAAGUGUAGAGGUGAAAUUCGUAGAUAUUUGUAGGAAUGCCGAUGGAGAAGUCAGCUCACUGGACAGAUACUGACGCUGAAGCGCGAAAGCGUGGGGAGCAAACAGGAUUAGAUACCCUGGUAGUCCACGCCGUAAACGAUGAUCACUAAGUGUUGGGGGUCGAAC
rnacentral:rRNA from 1 species